CUGCUCAGCAAUGCAAACCCAAUAAAUUAUGAAUAAUCAGCCUGUGCUAAUGCCAGAAUUUUGUCUAUCCAGGAAUUUGCCCGAGCAUUUGCCUGUGUGGUUUCUUCUGAAGUGACCUCAUAAGGUGGUGGCAUCAAACAGCAAGUUCCACCCUCCCAGCUGUGCCAAGAGUCAGUUCGGGAAGAUCUCCAGGAUGACACACUGAGCAGGAAUGGUGGAGCAGCUCUCACAAGUGAGACUCCAAGUCACAGAACAAGAUACCCUUCAGAGGUUGCAGCAUCACCACUGUGAAUGUACUGGCAUAUUGGGAGAGACUGUGGAAGUCAUGGAAGUAAAAUCUUCACCAGAUCAUGAGAGGAUGAAAAGUUAAACUCCUUUUAGGCAGAGCGUGAUCCUCGGUGGCUGUCAGAGCUCUGCCUACAACUUGUACUUCAAACCUUCAUUGAAGUAAACCAGAAUGAUU
rnacentral:lncRNA from 1 species